UGCACCUUAGUAUAUGAGGUACGCAAGUUUUUGAUACUUGUAGGGGCAGUUUAAUUCUACCAGGUGCAA
rnacentral:tRNA from 1 species